UAGGGAAUCUUCCACAAUGGACGCAAGUCUGAUGGAGCAACGCCGCGUGAGUGAAGAAGGUUUUCGGAUCGUAAAGCUCUGUUGUUGGUGAAGAAGGAUAGAGGCAGUAACUGGUCUUUAUUUGACGGUAAUCAACCAGAAAGUCACGGCUAACUACGUGCCAGCAGCCGCCGUAAUACGUAGGUGGCAAGCGUUGUCCGGAUUUAUUGGGCGUAAAGCGAGCGCAGGCGGAAUGAUAAGUCUGAUGUGAAAGCCCACGGCUCAACCGUGGAACUGCAUCGGAAACUGUCAUUCUUGAGUGCAGAAGAGGAGAGUGGAAUUCCAUGUGUAGCGGUGGAAUGCGUAGAUAUAUGGAAGAACACCAGUGGCGAAGGCGGCUCUCUGGUCUGCAACUGACGCUGAGGCUCGAAAGCAUGGGUAGCGAACAGG
rnacentral:rRNA from 1 species